GUGCAGGAUCGCAGAAGGAGCACGGGGACCCGGAUGGUGGCAUCCACUAUGCAGAGCUGAGCCAGCAGGAGGCUGGAGACAACAGGGACAAGGGUAGGGGUGCACCACAUCUAGAAGAGGAGACCUCUCUCACUACCGUCUACAGUGAGGUCCGCAGGCAAGGCCAGGCCAUGAGCAUGAUUUAACCAGAGGAAGCAGGAGAAUCCCGCCCUCCGGGGACAUCUGUCUUGUGAACCUGAUGCCCGAAGCUCUGGUCCUGCCUUUUCCCCCUCUCACUGCUCUGAGCAGGGACUGCGUGGAUCCAACUAUCAGCUAUUUCUAUGCUAAAUUGUUCUGCACAAGUUCCCCGUGAGACCCAAUAUCCUGCCUCAACCAAUCUUGGACACCAGCCAGCAUCAGUCAUGUGCUGAGAGCUGUUCACAGACGACGUGAAUCCGUAAUCGUCAGCGCUGGCUGAGUGCUGGCCCGGUGACACGCACUCUCUGACCAUUCUGCCCGCUCCUAACGCACCGGGUCCUCGUGGACUGUCUGUGAGGUGGGGAUCGUUGUGCCCACUUUACAGAUCAGUAGAAGGAGCCAGAAAGGCUGACUCUCCAGGCUGCACAGCCGGGAGCCCCGGAGUCAGGACUCAGCCCAGGGAACGUGCUCCAGGGCCCGUCUCUCCAGCCCUCGGCUGUCCCCUGUAGUGGCAAACCUCCUUCUGUCCUGUCCUGUUGGCCAAUGGCCCAGCCUCCUGUUGCUCAGGAAAAAGCAGAAGUUCUAGUUCCUGACAGUUAGUGUUAACUGACUGCAUUGGUAGACACCUGUGUCCCUCUCUCCUGUCCCCAUGGAGGACGCUGAGCUCCUCUGGGCUCAGUGAGGACUUUUCCCUGCACUUCAAGGCCCUUCCCUGGGGACCUGUCCUCUCCUGCAUUCCUGUCUCUGGCUCGUCCCCGUGACCCUGCUGGCUCCUUCCCUGCAGCCCUCAGCUUGUCUCCGUGCUGCCCCUGCUCCAUACCUGAGCCCCCACCUUGACCUCACCUUAUGGGGACCCCUAGAGAGCCAGGAGGUGGCCCCCACGUGACACCAUUGAUGCCCCUUUCCUUCGCCAACGCCCUCUGCCCUCGGGUCCCUGACGGCCACUCUCCUGGACCCCCUGGCCCACCUGCCACCCUCCCAGACUCCUCAGCCGUCCCUCCAGGGCUUCUCUUCAUUCACACGGUGGCACUUCCGAGGGUCUGGGCAGGACCCUUCCCAUCUCCUAGUGUCUUUCUCUCUCUGGGGCCCCUGCUCCAGGAAUUCAGUGACCACUCACACCGCUGAUGCCCAGGGCUGCCUCCCCGCCCCACGCCCUCUGCUCAGCCCCACCCCUGCCCUCCAGCCCCAUCGGCCACAUCCCUGCCCCUGUGCCCUCCUCCACCCUCUCCUCCUGCGGUCACAGACCCUACUUCCCUUUCUGUAAUACCAGGACCUGGUGAGAAAGAGCAGGAACUCCUCUCCCACAGGAAGGAAAACAGAAGCAAUUUCCUGUAAUCAGACAAUAAAUGUGCACAUGUUGUUUGUAGGAGAGGUGGGAGCAGUUCACCUGAGCCCAAGAAAAAUACUAUAGGGUCACCUCUCGGUAUGGGACACAUUUUCUCUCCUUCCAUGCUCUACCGCCAUUCCCCCAGGUGACGAAGCAGCCUGCGGUUUGCCCUAAUUAGUAAUUCAAGCAAGACAAAAGUGGGUCUCAAUUGUCCCUUCCUCUCCAGCUCCAGUGGAAACGGGUCGAUCCCCUGAGAUCAGAGGAAAGCAGAGAAGCUUAUCAUCCCUAAAACCUCAGCGUCUGCACGGUAACACACACGCACACGCACACACACACACACGCACCAGCCUCCAGCCAGGCAGCUAUGUGCGGGUCAGAACUAGGUCUGUCCCACAAACAUGCAGAUCACAAUAUGAAGGAGGACUCUAAGUGUCUGAGAACACUGUCAUCGUCUGGACAGCUGGCAGAGCAGGGCCGUGUCUCUGAAUCGUGCAGUCCAUUUCCGAGCUCAGCUCCUUUCCCUCCAGGGUCCCUACAGCUCACCCUUGCUGGUGGGUGGGCAGCAGGGAAAAACCAUUUCCCGGACACUGGGAUGCGGUAACUCCAGCAGGUGGUGGGUGUUGUUGGCAUUAGUCACACUGCACACGGUCGGUGACAGAUGUUUGACAUGAUUCCUAUUCUCAGUCUAGACCGGACAGUGGGGGGUGAGGGCUGGAGGUGAGAACACGAGCCCACGGUACCCCCCACAGAGCCUCACGGGGCUCCCUGGCUCCCAUGCCCUGUCCCACCCUCUCACCCUUUCUGUGGAGCUGGACUAGAUGCCUCUCCAUGUCUGCAGACCACUCAAGAGCCUCAGGGUUCUCCCCACGACCCGCAGCACAAACUUCUAAAUCUGUGUUCAAGUCCUAACGAGUGUAAUGACGGGGGCCUUCCCUCCCUGUUGGCCUUAUAUCCUGCAGUCUUGGUGAACUCACUAGUCCUAGGAAUUUUGUGUGGAUUCCUUGAGAUUUUCUGUGCACACAAACAUAUAAACAAUGUCUAUAACAAACACAGAUGAUUUCUUUCUCCUUUUCAAUCUAUAUAUUAUUUCCUUUUCUUGUCUUAUUGCACUGACCAGACUUCCAGGAGAAUGUGGAAUAGCAGUGCUGAGAACAAACAGCCUUGCCUCCUUCCCAAUAUUAAGGGAAAAGCUAGUUUUUCACCACGAAGUGUGCUAUUAACGGUAGGGAAUUUUUUAAAUAUGCUUUAUUAGAUUUAUCAGUUUCAUUAUCUCUGCUCUUGUCUUUCCUAUAUCCUUUUUCCACUUGCUCUGGGUUUAUUUUGCUCUUACUUUUCUAGAUUCAUGAGGUAAAUGCUUAAAUUAUUAAUUUGAGCAUUUCUUCUUUUGUAAUAUCUGCUUCUCAUUAUAUAUAUUACCAUAUAAGCCCUGGGUUAGCUUCUUGUCACACAUUUUGAUAUCUUGUGUUUUUCAUUACCAUUCACUUCAAAUAUUUAAAAUUUCCCUCAAGAUUUCCUCUUUAACUCAUGGGUUAUUAAGGAGUGGAUGUUUAAUUUCUGCAUGUUUGCAAAUUUUCCUGUUAUUUUUCUGUUUAUAAAUUCUACUCCAGGGGCAUCUGGGUGGCUCAGUGGGUUCAACAUUGGCCUUCGGCUGAGGUCGUGAUCCCAGGGUCCUGGGAUCGAGCUUUGGGUCAGACUCCCUGCUCAGCAGUUCUCUGCUUCCCCCUCCCCAAUGCUCAUGCUCUCUCUCUCUCUCU